rnacentral:rRNA from 1 species
UCUCCUACGGGAGGCAGCAGUGAGGAAUAUUGGUCAAUGGGCGAGAGCCUGAACCAGCCAAGUCGCGUGAGGGAGUACUGCCCUAUGGGUUGUAAACCUCUUUAGGCGGGGAGCAAUGCCGGGCACGUGUGCCCGGAGGGAGAGUACCCGCAGAAUAAGCAUCGGCUAACUCCGUGCCAGCAGCCGCGGUAAUACGGAGGAUGCGAGCGUUAUCCGGAUUUAUUGGGUUUAAAGGGUGCGUAGGCGGAUUUUUAAGUCAGCGGUAAAAUGUCCGGGCUCAACCCGGGCUGGCCGUUGAAACUGGG